rnacentral:rRNA from 1 species
GCAACAGCUCAAAUUUGAAAUCUGGCCUCUUGGGGUCCGAGUUGUAAUUUGUAGAGGAUGUUUUGGGUACCGCCCCGGUCUAAGUUCCUUGGAACAGGACGUCACAGAGGGUGAGAAUCCCGUACGUGCCCGGUGGCCGCCCCCGUAUGAAGCUCCUUCGAC